rnacentral:rRNA from 1 species
UACGAAGGGUGCAAACGUUGCUCGGAAUUAUUGGGCGUAAAGCGCACGUAGGCGGCUUGGCAAGUCGGAUGUGAAAUCCCUCGGCUCAACCAAGGAAGUGCAUCCGAAACUGCUGAGCUUGAGUACUUAAGAGGAUCGCGGAAUUCCCGGUGUAGAGGUGAAAUUCGUAGAUAUCGAGAGGAACACCUGUGGCGAAGGCGGCCUUCUGGACAGUGACUGACGCUGAGACGCGAAAGCGUGGGGAGCAAACAGG